GACAGAGGGUGCAAACGUUGUUCGGAAUUACUGGGCGUAAAGCGCGUGUAGGCGGCCAUGCAAAGUCGGGAUGUGAAAGCCCUCGGCUCAACCGGGGAAGUGCACUCGAAACUGCAAGGCUAGAGUCUCGGAGAGGAGAGCUGGAAUUUACGGUGUAGCGGUGAAAUGCGUAGAUAUCGUAAGGAAGACCAGUGGCGAAGGCGGGUCUCUGGACAUUCCUGACGGCUGAGGCA
rnacentral:rRNA from 1 species